GACGAACGCUGGCGGCGUGCUUAACACAUGCAAGUCGAACGGAAAGGCCCUGCUUUUGUGGGGUGCUCGAGUGGCGAACGGGUGAGUAACACGUGAGUAACCUGCCCUUUACUUUGGGAUAACUUCAGGAAACUGGGGCUAAUACCGGAUAUUAGCUCCUGCUGCAUGGUGGGGGUUGGAAAGUUUCGGCGGUUGGGGAUGGACUCGCGGCUUAUCAGCUUGUUGGUGGGGUAGUGGCUUACCAAGGCUUUGACGGGUAGCCGGCCUGAGAGGGUGACCGGCCACAUUGGGACUGAGAUACGGCCCAGACUACUACGGGAGGAAGAAGUGGGGAAUAUUGCAGAAUGGGCGGAAGACUGAUGCAGCAACGCCGAGUGCGGGAUGACGGCAUUCGGGUUGUAAACCGCUUUCGCCGGUGAAGAAGCGUGAGUGACGGUAAUGGGUAAAGAAGCACCGGCUAACUACGUG
rnacentral:rRNA from 1 species